CAACUCUGGAGCUUCCUAGUGGGAGUAGUACUAGUUUUAAUCAGGUUUGGCAAAAUGGUGCAGUUUCUGGUCAGAGUUUGCAAAUUCAUAGUCGGAUUGGUGAUAACGUGAGGAGUUUGGGAACUAUUGAUUUUGCCAGUGGACAGACCUCUGCCGCUGCUGGUGGUGAUUCAGCCAGUUCUAGACAACGUCGAAGAAAUGUGAGUUCUAAAUUCUUUCUUAAUUUAAAUGUAAAAAUUGGAUUUUAAUUAUGUGACUUCCUGUAGUUGUAAUGUUUAUUAGGAGCUUUUUUGGUCUUGUAAAUUUUUUUAUAUGCUAAUAGAAAAUGGAGACAACUUUUAGUAUUAGAGUAACUAAUUUCAAUACUUUUAUAAUAUUGGAUUGAGACGGAUUUAAAUUGAACAACAUAGAGGGAUGGUGAGUAUUAUAUAACCAAUUCCAACUUGCUGGAUCUGAAGCAUUGUUGUUGUUGAGUAUGCAGAAUUUAAUGAUUCUCAAAACUUAGUUUGUUUCAAAAUAUUUUAACAUGUGCAUAUAGUUCGAGCCACAAACUAUAGUUCACCCUAUUUAUUUUUAUGAAGAUUAAGAUUUUUAAAUCUGAAUAUAGAAUAUUAAAAUGUUGUCACUACAUCUGAAUACUAAAUAAUUAAGACCGAUUAUUUUCUUAAUAUCUAAAUGGAUAUUGUUUAUCUGUAUUUAAACGUAAUAAGCAUGAACAUGUCACAACUUGAGCUCUUAUAGGUGGAGAAAAUAUGUCCUCUUCUGAUGAAUAUCUUGAAAAUUUUGACAGACACAUGGAGUGCUGAAUGCAAUUAGUUGGGGAGUUAUGAUGCCAAUGGGUGCUGUAUUUGCAAGGUAUUUGAAAGUGUUCAAGUCAGCAAAUCCAGCUUGGUUUUACCUACAUGUUGCUUGCCAAACCUCUGCUUAUGCUGUUGGGGUUGCUGGAUGGGGCACUGGUCUCAAGCUUGGCAGUGAUUCUGUUGGAAUUAAAUUCAAUACUCACAGAAACAUUGGCAUUACUCUCUUCUGCCUUGGAACUCUUCAGGUAUGUCAAUUUUGCACUAUUUUUUGUCUCCAUUUAUUUGUCACUUUUUGUUUAACAAGAUUAAUUGGACCAGCUUUCCGAAUGAAUUAAACAUAGACCAUUCUGUGUUUGAGAUUAAAAUUCAGAUAUUCAUAAAUUACACAAGAAGAGGAGCCUUGGCGUAACUGGUAAAGUUGCUGCCAUAUCAGGAGGUCACGGGCUUGAACCGUGGAAAUAACCCCUUGUAGUCCGGCCAUUCCCCGGAACCCUCGCAUAGUGCACCGGCUGCCCUUUUACACAAGAAGUAAUGGUUACAAGUUCCAAUUUUUUCCAUGUCAAAACUAUGAAAGAACAACUUUAAAAAUCUUACUUGUUUAACUCUCAGAAACUGAAAAGUGGCAACCAUGUUGGGACAGGGAAAAUAAUUACUAAAAUUAUAGUACUCCAGUUAAGGCCCCGAAGCUUUGGUCUAGUGGUAAGAGGGCAGCACGUAAUGUAUAAAUUAAGAGUACGUCACAAGUUAACGUGCCAUUAACGCUUAAUAAUUUCUCCGCUAUUAAUAAAAAAAGCAAAAACUUACAGAUGGCUUCAAUGUAACACAACACGUACCGGAGAAUAACGCUUAAAUAAGCUGUUUUUACUUGAUUAACAUACAAAUUCCAAGUUUUAAUUGCUGUUUUGUAUGAUAGGUUUUUGCCUUGCUAUUGAGGCCAAAGCCAGACCACAAGUACAGACUCUACUGGAACAUCUACCACCAUACUAUUGGAUACACUGUAAUCAUUCUUAGCAUCAUCAAUGUGUUUGAGGGAUUUGAUGCCUUAAAUGGACAGAAAUACUGGAAGAGGGCUUACAUUGGGGUUAUCAUUGCCUU
rnacentral:lncRNA from 1 species